AUGAGAUUAGCGAGAGAGUCCUUUAUACGAAAAGGCGCCGAAGAAGAAAUUUAAGAAAUGCCAAUUUUUAGAGAAGCUUUCAGGCAAAAAUAUCGCUAAUUGAUG
rnacentral:ncRNA from 31 species